CUUUGUUGACUUGUUUGAUGAGCUUGAAGGGUAAGCAUUUGUUAACUAACAAUAUGAUCCUUUUUGCAGCUUACUCGGCAACAAUAGCUUGUCGGGAUAUAUUCCUGAUCUUAUUCCGUUGAAGGGACUAGCAAUAGUACAUCUGGAAAAUAAUCGGUUCAGUGGAACAAUUCCCCCAUCACUAGGAAACAUGGACAAUUUACGUGAACUUUUUUUGCAAGAGAAUAACUUGACUGGUCAAGUUCCAGAUAGCCUUACAGGGAGACCUGAUUUAGAUCUCAGAUUAUCUCCUGGGAAUUCAUUAGCAA